UGCCUGCGGCCUGGCUGCCGCCUCAGGGAUGCAACACGCCUAGUAACGCCACGUCAAUUGGCCGCUGCGGUACGCUUCCUCGACGGAUUGGAACUCGCGACCAAUCAACGAAAAGGACGGAGCCAAAUUGACUGGAGAGAGAAGAGCCUUUAAUCCCUGGGAGGCGGACUCUCCUACUUGGCUCCAGUUCAUUGGCUCCUGAUUUUAUCCUGCUGAAGAACCUGGCACAAUGGAUUGAACCCUUGCAUUAGUCUAGUCCUGUUGCAGUGAUAAUCUACACACCCAUCUUCUUCCUAAAUCUAAGGAUCCACCCUAACCUCCCACUUUACUCCUUCAAAAUGCUGGUUCCAGCCACCCCUACUCUGAACCGUCUGAAUAGCACCUCAGCUCUUAAUCCAGUCCACUGUAUUGUCUUGGCACCCUCUGGUAACCCUAGUCCUAUAGGCUUUACAGUUCUUCAACCGCAGAACACACAGUAGAUUCAAUAGAACCCAAAGCAGCAAGAAAAUUGCAUUAUGAGACUUGAAGUUCUUGGGCCCCAAAUGCAAGCUAGACCUGACUAAAUUCGAUAAGCAGCUUUGGGGAAAAAAGGAGGGGUGUGUGCACCUGGCUGGAUCAGUUGGUAGAACACGGGACUCUUGAUCUCCAAGUGGUGUGGCUUGGAAGAGCAGCUCAAGGCACCUGAAGUGGGACAAAGAACAGGGAUGAAGAGGAGUCGACCUCAAUAACUCUGGGAUGAGUAGCUGGGGCAUCUUGGGAAGCAGAGACGACAUGCGGCUGAGCAGCUCCUCACACACGGUCAAGGCAUCCUGUGCUCGGCCUGCCUGGAUCAGUGCUACUGCUG